rnacentral:rRNA from 1 species
UUUGCGUCGAAGGUAUACCGGUAAGGAGUGCUGGAGCGAAUAGAAGUGAGCAUGCAGGCAUGAGUAGCGAUAAUUAAUGUGAGAAUCAUUAACGCCGUAAACCCAAGGUUUCCUACGCGAUGCUCGUCAUCGUAGGGUUAGUCGGGUCCUAAGUCGAGUCCGAAAGGGGUAGACGAUGGCAAAUUGGUUAAUAUUCCAAUACCAACAUUAGUGUGCGAUGGAAGGACGCUUAGGGCUAAGGGGGCUAGCGGAUGGAAGUGCUAGUCUAAGGUCGUAGGAGGUUAUACAGGCAAAUCCGUAUAACAAUACUCCGAGAACUGAAAGGCUUUUUGAAGUCUUCGGAUGGAUAGAAGAACCCCUGAUGCCGUCGAGCCAAGAAAAGUUUCUAAGUUUAGCUAAUGUUGCCCGUACCGUAAACCGACACAGGUGGGUGGGAUGAGUAUUCUAAGGCGCGUGGAAGAACUCUCUUUAAGGAACUCUGCAAAAUAGCACCGUAUCUUCGGUAUAAGGUGUGGUUAGCUUUGUAUUAGGAUUUACUCCGAAAG